GGAAGCAUGGAGACGUGUUUCUUUCUGAUGCUGGUGAGGAAAUCGUCAUCGUCAUCGUCAUUGUCUUCUCCAUCAGCGACAACGACAGGAUAAAUCAACUUGGAGGCUCAGCUCUCUGCUGUUUUCCAUGGAUUUCUACCUUCUCAGCCUUCUCUUCUGCCUCUUCCUGCCAGCAGUUGUUGAGCGCAGCCUGGUCCUUAGCUCUCACGGCUCCUUCUCCCUCUGGCCAUCUGCAGGCUGGUGACCAGGACUCCACAUCUCUUGCCUCAAGAUUUGGACUUUUCCACUCAACAUCUUAACUGACCCAAAGGCUGUUUGGUUCCCCCUUGCUCCUGUAGACUUCCUUGAGGGAGCACCCUCCCGCCUCCCUGUCAAUGAACCUAGCACCCAGGACACAAGGACACAAGGUGAACCAUCACCGCUAGAUCCUGCAGACUCACCUAGGGUGCUCCCAGAGGUGCUCUUCUCCGGUUCCCAAGAUCAGUCUUGGUUGCUAGUGGUAGAGAACUCAGAACGAUGCCCGGACAGGAAGAUGGGGUCAAAGGGUUUAAAUUUCUUACUGUGCAAACAAGAAAAAUAAUUUGGAUUUGGAGGUGGUGUCUUU
rnacentral:lncRNA from 1 species